AGAUUUUUUUUUUUUUUUUUUUAUGUCACUAGUUCGGCAAACAACCGUACGGCUCACCUGAUGGUAAGAGAUUACCGUAGCUUAUAGACGCCUGCAACACCAGAAGCAUCGUAAGCGCGUUGCCGACCCGAUCCCCCCCAGGAGCUCUGGUCACCUUACUCACCAACAGGAACACAAGACUGCUUGAAAGCAGUAUUAUUCAGCUGUGAUCUUCUGUAAGGUCGAGGUACUUCCCCAGU
rnacentral:misc_RNA from 1 species